GCUUCCUCACUUUGAUCUUUCAACUCUCCUCUUUCAAGGAGCUGUUGGGGGGUCGUACCACAGUUGUAUAUUUAUUGGUGGACAUUUUGAUCUUUGGUUGUGGUGGUCUGGGGCUCUUAGUUGUUUGGUUCUUAGCUUCAUUCCUCUUCUUGUAGGUAGGGCUUUUGUGCAUUAUAUGUAUGCUUUUUUGUAAGAGUGAAAUCCAAACUAAAGAGCAUGCAGAAGGAUAACACUAGCACCCCAUUAACACCAACUGGUCGGGUUCGACAUCGAAGACGUUCAAAUGAGGUUGUUCCAGAUGUUAGUAUAGCCAAUGGAGGCAAUUUACUUGUUGAUGACAGUAACACGUACAGGUCUAUGUGGAUACGGGCAUGCUCUUCUGUUUGGAUGAUUGGGGGAUUUGCAUUCAUUAUAUAUAUGGGUCAUCUCUGUAUUACUGCUAUGAUAGUUGUUAUCCAAAUCUUUAUGGCGAAAGAGUUGUUCAACCUACUAAGGCGAGACCAUGAAGAGAGGCAUCUCCCAGGAUUUAGGCUGUUAAA